rnacentral:rRNA from 1 species
UACGAAGGGGGCUAGCGUUGCUCGGAAUCACUGGGCGUAAAGCGCGCGUAGGCGGAUCUUUAAGUCAGGGGUGAAAUCCCGGAGCUCAACUCCGGAACUGCCUUUGAUACUGAGGGUCUCGAGUCCGGGAGAGGUGAGUGGAACUGCGAGUGUAGAGGUGAAAUUCGUAGAUAUUCGCAAGAACACCAGUGGCGAAGGCGGCUCACUGGCCCGGUACUGACGCUGAGGUGCGAAAGCGUGGGGAGCAAACAGG